rnacentral:rRNA from 1 species
GAUGAACGCUGGCGGCGUGCCUAACACAUGCAAGUCGAACGAAGCACCUUACCUGAUUCUUCGGAUGAAAGUUUGGUGACUGAGUGGCGGACGGGUGAGUAACGCGUGGGUAACCUGCCCUGUACAGGGGGAUAACAGCUGGAAACGGCUGCUAAUACCGCAUACGCGCACGAGGAGACAUCUCCUUGUGUGAAAAACUCCGGUGGUACAGGAUGGGCCCGCGUCUGAUUAGCUGGUUGGCAGGGUAACGGCCUACCAAGGCAACGAUCAGUAGCCGGUCUGAGAGGAUGAACGGCAACAUUGGAACUGAGACACGGUCCAAACUCCUACGGGAGGCAGCAGUGGGGAAUAUUGCACAAUGGGGGAAACCCUGAUGCAGCAACGCCGCGUGAGUGAAGAAGUAUUUCGGUAUGUAAAGCUCUAUCAGCAGGGAAGAUAAUGACGGUACCUGACUAAGAAGCUCCGGCUAAAUACGUG